ACUCCUACGGGGCGCAGCAGUAGGGAAUCUUCCACAAUGGGCGCAAGCCUGAUGGAGCAACACCGCGUGAGUGAAGAAGGGUUUCGGCUCGUAAAGCUCUGUUGUUGGAGAAGAACGUGCGUGAGAGUAACUGUUCACGCAGUGACGGUAUCCAACCAGAAAGUCACGGCUAACUACGUGCCAGCAGCCGCGGUAAUACGUAGGUGGCAAGCGUUAUCCGGAUUUACUGGGUGUAAAGGGCGUGUAGGCGGGGAAGGA
rnacentral:rRNA from 1 species